rnacentral:rRNA from 1 species
UACGUAGGCAGCGAGCGUUGUUCGGAGUUACUGGGCGUAAAGAGUGCGUAGGCGGUUUUCUAAGUUUGGUGUGAAAUCUCCCGGCUUAACUGGGAGGGUGCGCCGAAAACUGGAAGGCUUGAGUAUGGGAGAGGUAAGCGGAAUUCCUGGUGUAGCGGUGAAAUGCGUAGAUAUCUGGAGGAACACCGGUGGCGAAGGCGGCAUUCUGGACUGUAACUGACACUAAGGAACGAAAGCCAGGGGAGCAAACGGG